GGGGGCAGGGCCUUGGCAGAGAGACAAGGUCAGACAGGAGGGGAUGUGGGCUCAGCAUGAGAGCUGCCUCCUCUCCGGUCAAACCAGCACUAACUGCGGGGUCAGAUCAGAUUUUUUGUUUUCUGGUGCAGCCUGGAUACUGAUCUCAUGUAGAGGAGCAUCAACAUAGAAAGCAAUGCAAUGUUAACUAUACAUUCGAAAAUAUUUAAAAAAUAAUUCAUAUAGCCUAUUCAUAAGUUGGCCUUCUUCCCUUCCCUGAUCUGUGAGAUUAAAUGGCACUUUCGCUGAGCAUGUGACAUGACAGAGAAAAUGAAAUAUAAAAUAAAAAAUCACAAACUCUAAUAUCUGAGUUACACUCUGAGACUCAGUCAUGUGCAUUUUUUAUGUGCCGCAACCAAAGCGCAGCCACUUGAUCUCUCGGCGGAGCUGCCUUGCGUGUUAAAGGAGGGAUAAACCUUUAAGAUUUUUGGCACCCACAGGGGGCCUGACAUCCUCACCAGUGGAUGUCAGUGUUCCAAGCGACAGAGGGGAGCGAGACCCGCUGAGAGCUGCCCUUCGCCUGAACCUGCAGUGCCAUUUUUUCCACACUCAUAAUAAAAAUAUAAAACCCUCCCCUCCUCAUCCCACCGAAUCCGUCUGAAGUUAUUUUGGAGCUGUCUGGGUUGACACGGUGCGGCUAUUGGCUGUCUCGGAAGGAUGGAGGACCUGCGAGGUGAUCCGCGUAUCUAUAUAGAUGAGAAUAGCACUGGAACACACACGCUUGCAAGCGUGAUCACUGAAGCAUCCAGCAAGAGGGAUAUAAGUUCAACAAUGGGACUCGGUUGGUAGGGCAAAGGAGUGUAAAAUCCCUUAAGUAUCUCACUGAUCCAGUCAUAGUUUUAGAUAAGGCCGUGCCUGAUACCACACUGCCUCCAACUGACAAGCUUAGAGAUAAUGAGUUCAUGGAGAAUACAUAUUAGUUCAUGCAACAGAACUAGCUACAAGCAAUGUCUUGUGAAGAAAUAUGAAUCAGCGGAAUGCACAGUGAUGUAAUGUUUCUGUGCUACAGCGUGCGAUGAGACUGCGCCAGCGGCAUGCCCUGUUCCUGGAUGUGACAUUAAAAGGGUCCCGUGGCAUGAUGGCAGCCGGCGGUGAGGGCGAUAGUGGACACAAGGAAACCUUCAGCGCAGAGCCAAAAACCCACAGCCUGGGAUCGGGGAUUUACACCAAAACAGAAUAGACGGAUUGCGCUCCUCUUUCCACACUUGGAUUGCCUAUGUGUAUGAAUUGUGUUAUAUAAAUAAACUUGCCUCACUUUC